CCAUCUUCGUUGUGCUCUCGCUCUCUGGCGUCUUUGCGGAGAUCGAUUGCGAAUAUGCGCUUCGAAAGACGCAACGUCUGAGACACCAUCGACAGAACUCGCACUACAGCCCACAUGAGGUUUAUGAUCAAAAAAAAAAAGGGGUUCAGU